UAGGGAAUAUUGCAAAUGGGCGAAAGCCUGAUGUAGCAACGCCGCGUGUGCGAUGAAGGUCUUCGGAUUGUAAAGCACUUUUUGGAGGGAUGAGGAGGGACAGUACCUCCAGAAUAAGCCUCGGCUAACUACGUGCCAGCAGCCGCGGUAACACGUAGGAGGCAAGCGUUAUUCGGAUUUACUGGGCGUAAAGCGCGUGCAGGCGGUUUGGAAAGUUGGAUGUGAAAGCUCCUGGCUCAACUGGGAGAGGUCGUUCACAACUUCCAGACUUGAGAGUGGUAGAGG
rnacentral:rRNA from 1 species